CAGUCUGCAAAUUUAUGCAAUCUCCCACAGUCCCUGCCCCCGAGCAGCCUACCCUUCUUUCAUCUUAUAAGUAUGAGCGCUUUGUUUCCGCGCCUGCUACUACCUCGGGACUCACCGCUCGUCACAAUUUCUACGCGGCGAGGAGAAUUAUCGCGAAACUUUCUUGUCGAUCCUGUUUACUCGCGCUUAUCGUCGCGCUCGCGCGUGUGGCAAUCGGCGAUAUUUUUCUCUUUUCUUUCCUUUCCCCAAGCGUUACGUGGCGAUUUUGCCGGCAGUUUUUCACCGACGGAUUCGCAGCGCCGGCCGCGGCAAACGCGACUCGCGCACGCAACGGAAAACGUAGGAAAUGCGUGGCACAUGAAACAGAGGGGGAACAAAGAUAAGAAAAGGAGAGAAUCAUGAAAACAAGGCCGGAGAUGGAGAACGUCGCAUGUUUUCGUUGCCGAAUGCUCGCCACGGAAAAACACGAGGUGAACUUACCGAGCGAUUCAUUUGGAGGAAACGCGCGUGACGAGACAUCGCGAUUGACAUUUGCGCGCGAAUGGCCUAUUUUCCUUCGAUAUCGAGAGAGAGAAAGAGAGAGAGAGAGAGAGAGAGAGAGAGAGAGAGAGAGAGAGAGAGAGACUUCAAUCCGCAUAAACACGUUGCACACUGAAGUGGACAAUUUCCAGAUGUAAACAGCUUCACGACAGGGAUGUUUCUCUUAUAUUCGUCCUGAAGAAAGCAGUCGACCACUCGAGGACGCGUGGCGGUGCAACUCGUGACUUACUUCCAUAACGAAAAGCAGCUAUGCAAAUGCAAUUUCUCAGUGGGUUUUCCUUCGUACAGGACACACUCCAAUUAUCGUCGCAAACUGCACAAUCGUCUACUACACAUGCCUUCGUGUAACGAUUUACUCUCAAAUUGAAAAGUUAUCGACGGGACAGCGCGGCGCCUUGUGUGGAAGAUAUUAGAAGGACGAGCACAACAGAGAAGAAAGAGAAGGUUUGAGAAAACGACGAGAUGAGAGAACAAUAAGGCGAAGUUGCAGUAAUCGACAAUGACAUCUGACAUUUUGGACCCAAGUUCGGAACUAAAAAGAAGGAUCUUCACUUCAGUCACCUCGAUGAUCAAUAAACAUGUUGCGUCUAUUGGAAUAGUCUGUUGCGUCUAUUAAAACUUGAAAUAUCUGCAUUAAUCAACGCUACAAUGUUAUACAACUCACAAGGUUGGCAGUGCGUUUGCAUUCCGUUUGAUUCGCUCUAUGAACGCGAACACUGCCUCCCGCCGGCGGUGUCUACCAGUAAGGAAGAAAAGGCGCCGGCGUGAGUGGUAUACUUGAAUGGAGGUAAUAUCAGGAGUGAAUUUUCGGUGAGAUCCGCCGGUUUGAAGAGGACAGGUAAAAGCCAGUUCCCGGAAUGACGUCGCGACGGAAUGAACGGGCCCCGGUGGUGCAACUGAGAUGACGUGGCCGACGUGUCGAUGAAAGCAGGAAAAAGAAAGGUGGAGGGAAAUGUUGGGGCUCUCAUCAUCCUCCGCUAAUAUUUACCUUUGCAGACACAAAGACCAUCCCCUGGUCACCUAAAGAACCAUCUUCCCCUACCUGGGCGCUGAUAAAGACUCACAGCAAAGUCGUUUGCAUCACACCGUGCUGAAAACCCCGCUCGCUAUAUCGGCAAUAUUCCAGCUGUGACUCUUGCGUAAUUCACCGGGAUCAAAACUUUCCGUUGUUGAAUGGGAAUGACCACUCAUAAUGGUAUAAUUGUGUGUUUUUAGGGUAAGAUAUAAGGCGGUUCUACAGCGCUUCUUUCGCAGAUGCGCCAAUAUAGGUGACAUUGUGACGUGACAGA